GACGAACGCUGGCGGCGUGCUUAACACAUGCAAGUCGAACGGAAAGGCCCUGCUUUUGUGGGGUGCUCGAGUGGCGAACGGGUGAGUAACACGUGAGUAACCUGCCCUUGACUUUGGGAUAACUUCAGGAAACUGGGGCUAAUACCGGAUAGGAGCUCCUGCUGCAUGGUGGGGGUUGGAAAGUUUCGGCGGUUGGGGAUGGACUCGCGGCUUAUCAGCUUGUUGGUGGGGUAGUGGCUUACCAAGGCUUUGACGGGUAGCCGGCCUGAGAGGGUGACCGGCCAAAUUGGGACGGGGAGAGGGCCCAGACUCCGAGGGGAGGGAGGAGGGGGGAAUAUUGAACAAGGGGGGGAAGCCGGAUGCAGCAACGCCGGGGGGGGGAGGACGGCCUUGGGGUUGUAAACCGCUUUCGCCUGGGACGAAGCGGGAGGAAGGGAAAUGGGAAAAGAAGCACCGGCUAAAUACGG
rnacentral:rRNA from 1 species